AUUGAACGCUGGCGGCAGGCCUAACACAUGCCAGUCGAGCGGAUGAAGGGAGCUUGCUCCUGGAUUCAGCGGCGGACGGGUGAGUAAUGCCUAGGAAUCUGCCUGGUAGUGGGGGAUAACGUCCGGAAACGGGCGCUAAUACCGCAUACGUCCUGAGGGAGAAAGUGGGGGAUCUUCGGACCUCACGCUAUCAGAUGAGCCUAGGUCGGAUUAGCUAGUUGGUGGGGUAAAGGCCUACCAAGGCGACGAUCCGUAACUGGUCUGAGAGGAUGAUCAGUCACACUGGAACUGAGACACGGUCCAGACUCCUACGGGAGGCAGCAGUGGGGAAUAUUGGACAAUGGGCGAAAGCCUGAUCCAGCCAUGCCGCAUGUGUGAAGAAGGUCUUCGGAUUGUAAAGCACUUUAAGUUGGGAGGAAGGGCAGUAAGUUAAUACCUUGCUGUUUUGACGGUACCAACAGAAUAAGCACCGGCUAACUUCGUG
rnacentral:rRNA from 1 species